GUGCUUCAGCAGCACAUAUACUAAAAUCGGAACGAUACAGAGAAGAUUAGCAUGGCCCCUGCACAAGGAUGACACGCAAAUUCCUACAUUCUACACACUCAAGU